CGAACGCUGGCGGCGUGCUUAACACAUGCACGUCGAACGGAAAGGCCCUGCUUUUGUGGGGUGCUCGAGUGGCGAACGGGUGAGUAACACGUGAGUAACCUGCCCUUGACUUUGGGAUAACUUCAGGAAACUGGGGCUAAUACCGGAUAGGAGCUCCUGCUGCAUGGUGGGGGUUGGAAAGUUUCGGCGGUUGGGGAUGGACUCGCGGCUUAUCAGCUUGUUGGUGGGGUAGUGGCUUACCAAGGCUUUGACGGGUAGCCGGCCUGAGAGGGUGACCGGCCACAUUGGGACUGAGAUACGGCCCAGACUCCUACGGGAGGCAGCAGUGGGGAAUAUUGCACAAUGGGCGGAAGCCUGAUGCAGCAACGCCGCGUGCGGGAUGACGGUCUUCGGGUUGUAAACCGCUUUCGCCUGUGACGAAGCGUGAGUGACGGUAAUGGGUAAAGAAGCACCGGCUAACUACGUG
rnacentral:rRNA from 1 species